GACGUAGGGGGCAAGCGUUGUCCGGAAUCACUGGGCGUAAAGCGCGCGUAGGCGGCGCGGCACAUUCAGCGUGAAAGCCCGCGGCUCAACUGCGGGAGGUCGGUGGAGAUGGCCGCGCUAGAGGCUGGCAGAGGCAGGCGGAAGUCCCGCAGGAGCGGUGAAAUGCGUAGAGAGCGGGAGGAACACCGGUGGCGUAGGCGGCCUGCUGGGCCAGUCCUGACGCUGAGGCGCGAAAGCUAGGGGAGCGAACGGA
rnacentral:rRNA from 1 species